UGGGGAAUAUUGCACAAUGGGCGCAAGCCUGAUGCAGCCAUGCCGCGUGUGUGAAGAAGGCCUUCGGGUUGUAAAGCACUUUCAGCGGGGAGGAAGGGAGUAAAGUUAAUACCUUUGCUCAUUGACGUUACCCGCAGAAGAAGCACCGGCUAACUCCGUGCCAGCAGCCGCGGUAAUACGGAGGGUGCAAGCGUUAAUCGGAAUUACUGGGCGUAAAGCGCACGCAGGCGGUUUGUUAAGUCAGAUGUGAAAUCCCCGGGCUCAACCUGGGAACUGCAUUCGAAACUGGCAGGCUAGAGUCUUGUAGAGGGGGGUAGAAUUCCAGGUGUAGCGGUGAAAUGCGUAGAGAUCUGGAGGAAUACCGGUGGCGAAGGCGGCCCCCUGGACAAAGACUGACGCUCAGGUGCGAAAGCGUGGGGAGCAAACAGG
rnacentral:rRNA from 1 species